AUACGGAGGGAGCGAGCGUUAAUCGGAAUUACUGGGCGUAAAGCGCGCGUAGGCGGCUUUGUAAGUCGGAUGUGAAAGCCCAGGGCUCAACCCUGGAAUUGCAUUCGAUACUGCAGAGCUAGAGUAUGGUAGAGGGAAGUGGAAUUUCCGGUGUAGCGGUGAAAUGCGUAGAUAUCGGAAGGAACACCAGUGGCGAAGGCGACUUCCUGGGCCAAUACUGACGCUGAGGUGCGAAAGCGUGGGGAGCAAACAGGAUUAGAAACCCGAGUAGUCC
rnacentral:rRNA from 1 species